rnacentral:lncRNA from 1 species
UCCAAAUGCUGUAUUUUCACAUGGCAGGAUACAAAACAGGAAGCAAGAAGUCAGUAGCAAAAGGAUGUUGGAUUUUUCUUCAUGUGCCUUCCCUUUUCAGGGAUGAAACAGUUUCCAAAAGCUCCCAGGAGACAUCCUCUUACAUCUUAUUAGUGAGAUCUGAAUCUCAUGUCAGUCACUGGCAAAGGAGAAUAGCUGUGUCAUGAUCACCUGAGACCAACGAUGAUUCCUGAAUAAAAUCCAAAAGGAGAGAGGGGCCCCUGGGCAGGCCAGCAUCCGUGUUUGCUGCAAACAGUAGUACCCGGUGCCUUGCUUCUCCCUUAACCUCUACUUGGGCAUCUUUGGGGCACUUUUGGGAAUCUGUGGGUUUAGAAGAAGAUAAAGGGAGGUGGCUUUGAGAAAUAGGGACAUUUCUUCUACUCACAUCUGGCCUGUUUCCCGAGUCACCUUGGGACUUCCUUUCACUUCCCAAACCCAGGGUCUUGAGUCCCCCUCCUUCUCCUGUAGAAUAUUCCAGCCCUCUUUCUGUUCUUCCUCCCUCUUUGUUGCUAUGGUACCUCCCUAUUCUCAAAGCCUAGGACUUCACUCCUAUUUAGUUCAGCUACCUAUGAGCUAAAUAGGACUGGAAGGUCAACUUUAGGUCAACCAGCAUUUAUAACUUAAUUGGAAGAGGCCUUAAAGGUAAGUUUGUCCAGCCCUUCACCCCGUACAGAAACCUCUCCAAAGCACCCCUGACCUUGGUGCUUAAACAUACACGUGAAGGGUUGCUCUGGGCAGGCAGAGAAGUCUUGUUGGCUCUCUGGCCCCACCUAAGUCCUGGGAACUUCCUCUGGCCACAACUUGGAAGGGCCAUACCUGGGUCUCAGGAAGGACAUCUCCUGAACUUUCUAGCUGAGCCCUGCCAGAAGAGAGAUUAGACUCCCGAAAUUGGGAGAGCCUUUGGAAAACAAAACCUGCGGAUGACUUCUAAUAGCUGAGCUCUGCAAGUAGUACACAUGGAUAUAAUUUGCAUUUAUUAUGUCCCUUAGGUAAUACACACUUUUUAGUCUGGUGAGGGGAAGACCAGUACUUUUGUCAUAUUUUAUGUGGGGAAAGUGUAUUACCAAAGCCUUUAGGGAUCUGUGCAAGAUCAAAAAGAGCCGUCAGAACGGAGUUGGAAAGGACUUGGAGAUCAUUUAAAGGAAGUCAUCAUUUUAAAGAGCAUAGGCACGGGGCUCAGGGACAUAGAGCAGUGUAGCGGCGUGACAGCCUCACAGUCCUGUGUUGAGACCGGAUUCCGUGGGACCCUCUUUCAAGCUGUCAGAGCAUCUUUAACAGAAGGUCAUAAUCUCCUGACAGACCUAGCCCUUCUAGAUAAGGGGCCAGAAUAGUUUCUUACGAAGUAUUUGGGUGAUUGGAUAGUUUUAGAUGAUCUAAAAUGCUGCAUCAGGGAAUAUCUAGCUUUUUGCUUUACUGUCAUCAGCUUUGAUCAAUACACGGGUUGUUGCCAAGUCCUCGUAUUUUGCUCCUUAAAAUAACAUGUAGGAUUUUUUCCUUGUUUGCUUCACCUGAUUUAUUGGGCGAUCUCUUUGUCUUGUCUAGAUCACUGUCGUCUUCCUGAAAGAUGAGAAGUACCAUUCUUUGCCUAUCAUCAUUAAAGGCAGCGUUGGUGGACUUCUGGUGUUGAUCGUGAUUCUGGUCAUCCUGUUCAAGUGUGGCUUUUUUAAAAGAAAAUAUCAACAACUGAACUUGGAGAGCAUCAGGAAGGCCCAGCUGAAAUCAGAGAAUCUGCUCGAAGAAGAGAAUUAGGACCUGCUAUCCACUGGGAGAGGCUAUCAGCCAGUCCUGGGACUUGGAGACCCAGCAUCCUUUGCAUUACUUUUUCCUUCAGGAUGAUCUAGAGCAGCAUGGAGCUGUUGGUAGAAUAUUAGUUUUUAACCAUACAUUGUCCCAAAAGUGUCUGUGCAUUGUGCAAAAAGUAAACUUAGGAAACAUUUGGUAUU